GCUUAACACAUGCAAGUCGAACGGUAAGGCCCCUUCGGGGGUACACGAGUGGCGAACGGGUGAGUAACACGUGGGUGACCUGCCCUGUACUUCGGGAUAAGCCUGGGAAACUGGGUCUAAUACCGGAUAUGACCUUCCUCUGCAUGGGGGUUGGUGGAAAGCUUUUGCGGUACAGGAUGGGCCCGCGGCCUAUCAGCUUGUUGGUGGGGUAAUGGCCUACCAAGGCGACGACGGGUAGCCGGCCUGAGAGGGCGACCGGCCACACUGGGACUGAGACACGGCCCAGACUCCUACGGGAGGCAGCAGUGGGGAAUAUUGCACAAUGGGCGAAAGCCUGAUGCAGCGACGCCGCGUGAGGGAUGACGGCCUUCGGGUUGUAAACCUCUUUCAGUAGGGACGAAGCGCAAGUGACGGUACCUACAGAAGAAGCACCGGCCAACUACGUGCCAGCAGCCGCGGUAAUACGUAGGGUGCGAGCGUUGUCCGGAUUUACUGGGCGUAAAGAGCUCGUAGGCGGUUUGUCACGUCGUCUGUGAAAACCCGAGGCUUAACCUCGGGCCUGCAGGCGAUACGGGCAGACUUGAGUACUGUAGGGGAGACUGGAAUUC
rnacentral:rRNA from 1 species